GAAAUCCAUCCCCUCCCGUGACAGUCGGGAAAGUGCACCCGCCACUGCAAACUGGACCCUAAAUCAGCCUCCGAUCUUCGAGUUCCUAGUGAAUUAAAGGCUGUAUGGCUCCACGGCAUUUCUUACAAAGCAGUUCUUUCUGCUUUGUUUGGAUGUGGCGUUGAACUGCUAUCGAUGUAAUUCAAGGGAUCUUCGAUGUGGGCCAGUGAUUUAAAUGUUUGGCAAUGACUUCACAUGAUGAGGAAGUGAGGGGCCCUCCCCUCGCGUAGGGGGUUCUGUGAAGGCGGCGGAACUCCUGGUAAAUGGGGGCGCUCAUCAAAGCAGGACGGCUGUCUCUUCAGAAUCAGCAGGUUAGCGCUCAAGCUCUGGAACAGUCUCAUUAUGGAAACGAGCCAGUGAGCUUGAAUGACUUGCCCAAGGGCCAUGUAGCAGAAGGAGCAGGAAGCAGAUCAGGUCUGGAAUCAGAACCUACGGAUACAAGCCCUAGGGGACUGAGGGGCUUCAGGUAUCACCUGGUCCAGGGGCUUUUGCAAACUAGAAGUGUGAGACCCAAAGGAAAUGUAGUUAGGACAGACCCAGGUAAGUUAUAUGUUAGAGCCCUGGACUUGUAAGUAGGCUCGUGCAAAAAUCUGUGUGACCUUUAGUGAGUCACACAACCUUUUUAAACUCCGGCUGACACGUGACUGCUGGCGGCCUCCUUUGAGCUUCUGGGGCAAUCCACCACCUGGGGGCCCUGCGCCCUGGGCCCCAUCUGACGCCUAGUUGUGUCUCCCUUCAGCCCCUUCCUCUCCUACCCUCACAAAGGCUGUUCCAAACUCCCCACUCCUCCAUCAUUUCUUCUCUCCCUCACCUCUCUGUAACAACCCUCAGCCACCAUUUAUUCAGUAAACUAAGAAACGACCAGGAAACAUUUACCCUGAUUUUUAACCCCUAAUCUCCAAAGUUACCUUUUUUUUUGCAUAAACACAUGCGUUUUUCCUCUGUCUUGCUUGCUGCAUCCCCAGGCCUGACACCAUGGCUGGCACCAAUGAUGCUGGCAAAGAAACUGAGGCCUCAAGAGGUCAAAUCACUUGCCCCAAGUCCUAUAGGUACUAAGGGAAGAGCUGACACUCAGCAAAGUCCUAUCAAAUUCUAAAGCUCGUGUUCUUACCCACCUCACUGCAUAGUAAUAUCUCCCAGAAAGCUUUCUCUGAAAAGCAAGAGGGUUGCAGGAAACAGAAGUUCUAUCUCCUGGAAUAGAUCUCCUUCCAUUAUUUUAUAAAGUUAGCUCAGCAGCUUAAAAUUCCUCACAGUAGUGGCUCUUUCUGCUAUCUUUGUUUUAGCAAUAGAGAAACAAAUAUACAGAUGUUAAGAAGCCUAUCAUCUUCCAGGAGCUCAGAGAACUGAUUGGAAAACCAGCUGUUUGUCGUUAGAUCAUGAAACUGUCCGUGCAAACUUUGUUCCAAGGGUAAUUCCCCAGGAAUCUGGUGGCCACUAAAGUCACACAUCACUGCUGUCAAUAUAGGUUCUUCCGUUCAUUUCUCAUCUUCACAUCUGGGAACGGAUGUAUCCUUUGCGUUUCCAGAGUCAACAAGCAUUAGAUUCAGCUUGAACUGCUGCCAUGUAGAUCUUCACCACACAUCUGGAGGAGCAGCUCCCAGUUGGGACACUGUUAAGCAGAGCAGGCCGGGCGACGCAGAUGAUGGCCAAGGAGUUAGACUGUGUCAACCUACAGCUCCUAGAUCUCAUCCAUCCGGUCACUGUGGCCAGAGGGAGGUCUGCAGCCUGUCUUCACCCUCUUGCGGAGAAUCCCCUGCUGGGCCAAACAGGACAA